CUCACAGCAGGAAGCAGAGACACUUAGAGGGGCUGCCCCAUGGUCAAUGCCACGGCCCUGGGGAUUUUCUCCUCAAGAGCUGUGAGUCGCUGUGGCAACCACAUUUCCCAAAGCUCCUCUCAAGGCAGAGAGACUAUUUUAGGAAGUGGGAGCAAAAGAUUUAAAUUGAACAUCAGCAAUGAAGAAAAGCUUAAAUUCAGACCAGGAACAAAUGUAUAUAGGCCUGAAUGUGCUGUAAUCCUUGGAGAACAAUGGAAAUUAUCCUGGAUUUUAAAAAGUAUAUGAAUGAACAAUGAUCAAGAAGGG
rnacentral:lncRNA from 1 species